AUUGAACGCUGGCGGCAUGCUUUACACAUGCAAGUCGAACGGCAGCGCGGGCUUCGGCCUGGCGGCGAGUGGCGAACGGGUGAGUAAUGCAUCGGAACGUGCCCAGUAGUGGGGGAUAGCCCGGCGAAAGCCGGAUUAAUACCGCAUACGACCUGAGGGUGAAAGCGGGGGACCGAAAGGCCUCGCGCUAUUGGAGCCGCCGAUGUCGGAUUAGCUAGUUGGUGGGGUAAAGGCUUACCAAGGCGACGAUCCGUAGCUGGUCUGAGAGGACGACCGGCCACACUGGGACUGAGACACGGCCCAGACUCCUACGGGAGGCAGCAGUGGGGAAUUUUGGACAAUGGGGGCAACCCUGAUCCAGCCAUGCCGCGUGCGGGAAGAAGGCCUUCGGGUUGUAAACCGCUUUUGUUCGGGAAGAAAUCCUCUGGGCUAAUACCCCGGGGGGAUGACGGUACCGGAAGAAUAAGCACCGGCUAACUACGUG
rnacentral:rRNA from 1 species